rnacentral:rRNA from 1 species
UAAUACGAAGGGAGCUAGCGUUACUCGGAAUUAUUGGGCGUAAAGCGUGCGUAGGCUGUUUUGUAAGUCAGAAGUGAAAGCCUGGGGCUCAACCUCAGAACUGCUUUUGAUACUGCAAGACUAGAGUGUGUGAGGGGAUGGCGGAAUUCCUAGUGUAGUAGUGAAAUACGUAGAUAUUAGGAGGAACACCGGUGGCGAAGGCGGCCAUCUGGCACACAACUGACGCUGUUGCACGAAAGCGUGGGGAGCAAACAGG